rnacentral:rRNA from 1 species
GACGAACGCUGGCGGCGUGCUUAACACAUGCAAGUCGAACGGAAAGGCCCUGCUUUUGUGGGGUGCUCGAGUGGCGAACGGGUGAGUAACACGUGAGUAACCUGCCCUUGACUUUGGGAUAACUUCAGGAAACUGGGGCUAAUACCGGAUAGGAGCUCCUGCUGCAUGGUGGGGGUUGGAAAGUUUCGGCGGUUGGGGAUGGACUCGCGGCUUAUCAGCUUGUUGGUGGGGUAGUGGCUUACCAAGGCUUUGACGGGUAGCCGGCCUGGGAGGGGGACCGGCCACAUUGGGACUGAGAUACGGCCCAGACUCCUACGGGAGGCAAGAGUGGGGAAUAUUGCACAAUGGGCGGAAGCCUGAUGCAGCAACGCCGCGUGCGGGAUGACGGCCUGCGGGUUGUAAACCGCUUUCGCCUGUGACGAAGCGUGAGUGACGGUAAUGGAUAAAGAAGCACCGGCUAACUACGUG